AGGUGGAAUUGACCGGUUUUGGAUAAUAAUUGAUUUGAUGUGGAAGAAUGAAGAAGAGAGAGGUGUCAAGUAUAACUCCAUGGUAUCUGGUCUUCUGUGUGGAUAGAUGGUGGUACUAGUAUCUCAGUAAACUAGAAAUUCUGAAAGAGGAACAUGUUUGGAAGGAGAAAAGAAUAAGCUCAGUUUUGGAUAUGUUAAGUUUGAGUCAUUUGUUUGCCAUACAAAAGGAAGACCAGGUCUGGAGCUCAGAAAAGAGGCCUAAAUUGGAUAGGUCGAUUUGAACUUUAUCAGCUUUCUAGGUGGUAACCAAAGCCCAUUGAAUGAGAUCACCUACACUGAGAUUGUGAAGUGAAAAGAGAAAAGGGCCCAAGGACCAAGCUAUGAGGAGCUUACAGAAGAGGAAGAACUCCCAAAAGAGAGUGAGAAGGACCUACCAGAAUGCUCUGUGAGGUAGGUGCUGCCACAUGAUAAACACGUUCACAGAGGAACUGAUUUACUGGAAGUCACACAGCAAGUUAAUAGCAGAAUUGGGAUGCCAAUUCUUCAGAUUCCAAGUCCAGUGCCUUUUCCACACCACCAUAGGAAACAGAUAUGGAAUCGGAGCUAUUGAGGGAUGAAGGGAUCUUCCCAAAGUCACGCAGCUAGUGAGGGGCUGAGCAAGAAUUCAAAUCCACACAGUCUGUUUUCAGAGUCUUUGGUCUUCACCACUAUGCUACUUUGGUGAGAAUGGUUAUUGAUUAUUUUUCAUCGACACAGCUCAGCCUCCUGGAAUUAAAGCGUGAAGAGUGAAUCUGGAGGGACAAACUGAAGAUAUCCAGCCAAGAUACAUUGCUUAGUUUUGCCUAAGUUUACAAAAGUGGAAUCAUACGCUCUGGAGGCUGGAAGUCCAAAAUCAAGAUGUUGGCAGAGUUGGUUCCUUCUAAAGACUUUGAAGAAGAAUCUGUUUCAUGCCUGUCUCCUAGCUUCUGGUGGUUGCCAGCAAUCCUUUAUAUUCCUUGGCUUGUAGUUGCAUCACUCCAAUCUCUGCCUCCAUCAUCACCUAGCCUUCUUCCCUGCAUCUCUUCUGUAUCCGUGUCCCAAUCUCCCUCUACUUUCUCUUAUAAAGACACCAGUCUCCGCACCUUAAUCCAGGAUAGCCUCAUCCUAACUUGAUUACAUCUGCGAAGACCCUGUUUCCAAAUAGGCUCACAUUCACAGGUACU
rnacentral:lncRNA from 1 species